rnacentral:pre_miRNA from 1 species
CAAGUACUCCCUCCGUCCGGAAUUACUUGUCAUCAAAAUGGAUGUGUCUAGAACUAAAAUACAUCCAGAUACAUCCAUUUCAAUGACAAGUAUUUUCGGACGAAGGGAGUACAUG